rnacentral:rRNA from 1 species
GAUGAACGCUGGCGGCGUGCCUAAUACAUGCAAGUCGAGCGAACGGACGAGAAUCUUGCUUCUCUGAUUUUAGCGGCGGACGUGUGAGUAACACGUGGAUAACCUACCUAUAAGACUGGGAUAACUUCGGGAAACCGGAUCUAAUACCGGAUAAUAUUUUGAACCGCAUGGUUCAAUAGUGAAAGACGGUUUUGCUGUCACUUAUAGAUGGAUCCGCGCUGCAUUAGCUAGUUGGUAAGGUAACGGCUUACCAAGGCAACGAUGCAUAGCCGACCUGAGAGGGUGACCGGCACAACUGGAACUGAGCAACGGCCAAGCCUCCUACGGGAGGCAGAAGUAGGGAAUCUUCCGAAAUGGGCGAAAGCCGGACGGAGCAACGCCGCGUGAGUGAUGAAGGUCUUCGGAUCGUAAAACUCUGUUAUUAGGGAAAAACAUAUGUGUACGUAAAUGUGCACAUCUUGACGGUACCUAAUCAGAAAGCCACGGCUAACUACGUG